CAGCGCGUUGUUCUAAUCAGUGAGCGGACCCGUUUCCGUUCACAGAUUCGUUUCAGUUUAUUAUCAACUUGUUAUCAAAACACUAGCAUGCAAAAGGACUAAUCUACUACAGUUCUCUAAAUCCCUAAAAACUCAGUGAAGAUGAGACUAAGAUUAUAAGAAUUACACCAUUCCCCUCUAAGUCUCAGGAAUACAUAGACAUUUGCAGCAGUGUGUAUGUGGAAAGAUUAUUAUACCCCAUGCUUCAAUUGAAUGGACUACCAGCAUAUUUUCUGAAUACAUGGAGUGGUAGCAUAUCCUAAAUUCAAAGAUGCAACACGAAGAAAAAGCUGUGCAUUUGUGGAAUUUUGUGAUUCCGAGUCAGCUGCCAAAGCUGUCACAGCAUAUGCAGCCUCCAGCGAGUAUCAUGUAUUGACUGAAGAUCCAGGGCAGUCAUGUGGUAUUCAGGUGUUUAAUGCAGAGAGCCAAGACGAAAUGGGGACAAGAAGAAAACGAGCACAAAACUAGACACGGAAGAACCCUGGAAGAACCCCUAGACACUGUAGUUCCAUGGUGCGGCAUGCUUAAGAAAAUGCUAAAUGCUACAAUGAGAAAUAC